UUUCCGUAGGUGAACCUGCGGAAGGAUCAUUACCACGAACCAGUGGAGCGAGGCGCGUCAGCGCCGAGCGACGCUGUAAACACCAUUCCGCUGGCCUGGCCUCGCGCCGUGCCCAGCAGUUAACCCCACGUUACACAGCGCUCCCAGCUGAGUGGGCGGGCGGGCCUAGGCUUACCCGCAGCUGGUACUUCGUAGCGCUCUAUCAAAUCCCCCCCACACAAAACACACACACCCAAUCAAACCACACGCCUCGGCAUACACUGGCAGUGGGCGCUAACCCGCCCACCCGCCUACCAUUACAAACGCUUACAACUUUCAGCAACGGAUAUCUUGGCUCUU
rnacentral:misc_RNA from 1 species